rnacentral:lncRNA from 1 species
CUGUGGGCGGCUGAGGACCGCCGGCUGCCCGGCUCGGAGAAGAACAGGGUGCAGUGGCUCACACCCGUAAUCCCAGCACUUUGGGAGGCCGAAGCAUGUGGAUCGCUUGAGGUCAGGAGUUCAAGACCAGCCUGGGCAACAUGGCGAAACCCCGUUUCUGCUAAAACUCAAAAAUUAGCCGGGGAACUCUCUCUUCUAUUCUCAGAGUCUACAAAAUGCAUUAUUAAAAAGGCAGGAAGAAAACUGGGCUUUAUCAAGGAAAGUCGCAUGCGCUUGACUGAGGGACUUUCCCUUUCGUCCGGCGAAGGUCUGGUGAGUCCAAUGGGGGAGUGGAAUUCGUUCCGGUGAUCCUCUCGGUCGCUCCCGUCGUACGAACUGCUACAGCUGCUCAAGCUGUCAACAGGAGAUCUCCCCGCCUCGUGGCGCGUGUGUUGUGGGUAUCUCGAAGGGGUGGUGGUACGGUCUCU